AUUGGAACUCGUCUUUGGUGAACUUUGGUCCAUUUCAACAGCAAACAUUUCUUUGGUCAAUAUCCUGGGCGUUACUCACAAUCCUGGCUCCAGACGUGAAGCCAUGUGAAUCAGAUUGAAAUGAACUCUGUCACAGGGCGGGACACACACAGCACAGAUACACUGAGACUGAAGCAGUUUGGAACAGAAAGACUCCGGGUGAUGAGAGCGUCUGGACAUCACGUCCAGCGUCUGAAAGAGGAGCUAAACUGCGCCAUUUGUCUGGAAUUCUUUAAGGAUCCUGUUUGCCUCGAUUGUGGCCACAUAUUUUGUCGCUACUGUAUCACCCGGAGCUGGGAAAAGCAGGGGAAACCUGCUGUGCGGAAUAUUGCCAAGUUAUUGCUCAGAAGAACCCCACGAUAAAUCGGUCCUUGGCCAAAAUGGUGGACAAAGCUCGAGAAUUCAGUCUGAACGCGACACAGACAGCGGUUAAACGUCAGUGUGAGAAACACCCGGAGGAACUGAAGCUGUUCUGUGAAACUGACAAGAAAUUGAUCUGUUCCAUUUGCGGAGAUGUGAAAAAACACCGAGGUCACAGCUUCCUGCCCAUUGACGAAGCUGCUGAAAUCUACAAGGAUCAAGUGAAAUCCUCCUUAGCUUCUCUCA